GGGUUGUGAGGUUAAGCGACUAAGCGUACACGGUGGAUGCCCUGGCAGUCAGAGGCGAUGAAGGACGUGCUAAUCUGCGAUAAGCGUCGGUAAGGUGAUAUGAACCGUUAUAACCGGCGAUUUCCGAAUGGGGAAACCCAGUGUGUUUCGACACACUAUCAUUAACUGAAUCCAUAGGUUAAUGAGGCGAACCGGGGGAACUGAAACAUCUAAGUACCCCGAGGAAAAGAAAUCAACCGAGAUUCCCCCAGUAGCGGCGAGCGAACGGGGAGCAGCCCAGAGCCUGAAUCAGUGUGUGUGUUAGUGGAAGCGUCUGGAAAGGCGUGCGAUACAGGGUGACAGCCCCGUACACAAAAAUGCACAUGCUGUGAGCUCGAUGAGUAGGGCGGGACACGUGGUAUCCUGUCUGAAUAUGGGGGGACCAUCCUCCAAGGCUAAAUACUCCUGACUGACCGAUAGUGAACCAGUACCGUGAGGGAAAGGCGAAAAGAACCCCGGCGAGGGGAGUGAAAAAGAACCUGAAACCGUGUACGUACAAGCAGUGGGAGCACGCUUAGGCGUGUGACUGCGUACCUUUUGUAUAAUGGGUCAGCGACUUAUAUUCUGUAGCAAGGUUAACCGAAUAGGGGAGCCGAAGGGAAACCGAGUCUUAACUGGGCGUUAAGUUGCAGGGUAUAGACCCGAAACCCGGUGAUCUAGCCAUGGGCAGGUUGAAGGUUGGGUAACACUAACUGGAGGACCGAACCGACUAAUGUUGAAAAAUUAGCGGAUGACUUGUGGCUGGGGGUGAAAGGCCAAUCAAACCGGGAGAUAGCUGGUUCUCCCCGAAAGCUAUUUAGGUAGCGCCUCGUGAAUUCAUCUCCGGGGGUAGAGCACUGUUUCGGCAAGGGGGUCAUCCCGACUUACCAA
rnacentral:rRNA from 1 species